rnacentral:lncRNA from 1 species
CCACUGAACCAUCUCUCCAGCCCGUGAAGUUCUUUUAGUAUUUAUUAAUUUUGUUUUUGAGACAGGACCUCACUUUGUAGCCCCGGCUACUCAGACUUCCUAGGGACCCUAGGCUAACCUUGAACUCAUGGAGGUCUUGAUGCCAGGUCAGUAGGUCUGACUCUACUUCUUGGCUGAUAUUCGUCAGUGAGUUGUGUUUAAAGUUUGCCCCGUGGGAUAGCUGGCGUGGAAAUUGCCUUGGUCUUGAGUCUAGCUUUCACAUUAGGCUCUGGGCAGACUGGUAGUCCUGUGGCCUUGGGUUUGUGUCUCUGGUGUGAGAGAGAAGCAGGGACCAGAAGGUAUCACCAGACCUAUGUGUCCCAGGUGUCCCUGGACCAGUAUCAGACGGAGGAUGAGCUGUAUCAGCUCUCUCUGCAGCGAGAGCCACGUUCCAAGUCAUCGCCCACCAGCCCCACCAGCUGCACCCCGCCUCCCCGGCCGCCUGUGCUGGAAGAGUGGACCU